CAUACCCACAAAAAUGCCCUUUUUUUUUUUUACUGAAAGGGCUCUUUAAAUCGUUUUCUUUAUUCCACCUCCGACAAGGGGAUUAGUACUGAAAUCAGCCUUGCUGGGUCGAAUUUGGGGUAGUGUGGAUGCAAUUUGAUGGUAUUGGCCUCCAGGAGCUAUCCUAGAGUGCUCAACUGUGACCGCUCUGAGCAGCGCUAUCAACUCAGAU